rnacentral:lncRNA from 1 species
AAAUAAUUUAAUAAAUAAAUAAAUAACUUUAAUUCUUUAUUACCUUGAGUCAUAAAGAGAUGUGCUGUGAUGGAAAGGCAAUCUCUUUGGAGUCUCAAAGCGGAUAAGUGUGCUGAGAAUGAAAAGCGAAGGCAAGAAGGGGAGACAAAACAAGAGAAAACAACAUGAAUACAAGACAAACGAGAGAAGAAUUUGCGUCGCCAAGGCAAAUUGCCUACAGAAUUGUUGAAAGAAUUGUCACGUGGCUUUUAGUUUUAGGCAUGGCAUUGGUUUCGUAGUUUUGUAUUUUAUUUAUUUUAUUAUUUUAUUGGGGUGACAAGUGUUUUAGUUGUAAUUGUCAAUUGUGGUGUGGGGUGGGGCCAGGACCCAAAAAGGAAAAAAAAGAAAAUUCUCCUUUUUAAUUAACAUCGAAAUUGAAAAAUUCGCUCAUAGACUCAUACAGAGAGGAUUUGGUAGGUAAACACAUUAUACACCUCAAGGGCAUUCCAUAGAUGGAUUUAGGGAUUUGUUUUUCAGAAGUGCUUUCGAAGAAGCAACUUUUGUCAUUUGUCUAUUCGCAAGUUAUUUAUAAAAGUAUUUGAAAAAAAAAAUAGUUGGAUAAUGCAAUUUUUAUAAUAUAAAAAAUCAAUAGAAAACAAUAACUUUUAAGAAAUAACUAAAAAAAAUUGUGAUGAUAAAAGAUAAACAAAUGACUAAUUUAUUUUCAAAUAAAUUGUGUACACUUAUUGACAACAAACAAAACAAGCACUCAAUUUCAUUCAUUGUUACAUACUUGCAGUAACAUAUUGAUGAUGAUGGAGGAGGGGAAGUUUAUGUAACAUAGGUAUUGACUCAUCCAACAUAAUUCUUAUCACCGAAAUCCACGGUUUUCUUGUUACCUACAACCAAGGGCAGAGCUCAGAGGAAAACUCUCCGAUGGUCAAAUUUAAACUUAUAAUUCUUAAGUUCUUAAAAAUAAUAAGUUACUACCCAACUAAAUCAUCCAAAAUAAGAUAUAAAAAAAAAAUUACUUAGGCUAUUAUUUAAUAAUGUCAAUAAUUUAUGAAAAAAGAAAAGAAAAGAAAUUGCAUUUAUAAUUUAUGAUUGAAAAUAAUUAAAAAGUAAAAAAGACACCCCCGCCCAUACAAAAUCAUCCAAAAAUAAUAAAAGUCUGUAUUGACUUUUCACACUAAUUUUUCAUAUUUUGUUUAGCAGCCCCAAUUUUUUUUUUUUCAAAACUCUACAGGCGUCGCUGCACCCUUCAGUCCUACAUACUCUCGGCCUCUGCGUAUGAUGAUGUUUAGAAUAUGCUUGCUGUUAUCUUGACCGACAUGACCGAUAUGCAUCACUAUAAACACGUAUACUUUUAGAUUGUUAGGUUUACUUAUUUUUUAUCAGAGGAGGUGAGAGUAAAGUUAAUUACUACUCCUUUGCGAUAUUAAAAUAUUAUAUUAUAACAAGCAUUAAAAUAUACUUUCAAUUAGGUUAUAAAAUGUCACUUAUCCUUUAGUGCAUAGGGGAAAAAUAAUUGCUUUUUAUCAAUAAAUUGUUUCUAGCAUAGGUAUUGGUUCAUUUAACAUAAUUCUUAUCACCAGAAAUCUACAACUUUCUUGUUAUUAUUACCAUAAUAGUAUUUAAAAUAUGUUUACCGUUCCUUGACCAAUGUGACUAAUAUGCAUCACUGCAAACAUGUACGUUUUUGUAUCAUUGGGUUUCAUUAAUUUCUAAGAAAGAAAUGAAAUUCUAACUAUGCAACUUCAUGAAUUGGGUAAUAAAAAAAAUCUACUAAAAUUACUAUACAAUUUAAAUUGUUGCUUUAAGAAAUACGAAUAACAAAAAAUUUAACAAAGUAUAAAUUUAAAAGGAGUAAGGGAGAAGAAAAUAAACAUGUGGAUUUUUAUGUGGUUCGGCAAACCCAUCUACGUCCACGUCUUCAAGCAAAUUAUGCUUGAGAAUUUUACUAUCCAAACUUUCUAAAACUUCAAGUUCUUACAAUUAACUUCUAAGAUAUCAAUAAAUAUUUUUACAAAUAGUGUUUUACUCACACACACAUUUCCUCAAGUGUAUGUAGAUUAGGAAAAUAAAAGGUCAAGAUUAGUUGUAUGAACAAGUUUUAACUUAAAUGAGAUUGACAAGUUGUUAGAUUUGGAUUUUUAUAGUUUAAAGAAUCAAACUAGUCACUAUUAACUUUCCGAAAAUUUGUUGGAUCGUUGUUAAAAUAAGGCGGUUAGCUGCUAUACUGUUGUAACAAGUUACGUUAUAAAAAUCAAAUUUGAAAUUUUGUCUAAGCAAUUUGCUGCUAGAUUUAGCUGGCUAGCAGCUACCUUUUUGUACAUCGGGCAGUUAGCUGUUACUGUUCUAAAAUUUAUAGUUUUACCUUAAAACUUUUAGAAAUUAUAUUAUGGAUAAAAGUGUCUUAAAAUUUUACAAAUAGGUCCACCUCCAAAAUUUAAAACAACAUUUUAUUGAUAUCAAAAUUUUCAAAAUCUUUCAUAUUAGUCCAUUAUUUUGAAAAAAAAACCAAUUUCAUAAAAUUAUUUGUCUUGUAACUAUAAAGCCUUUAGUUUAUGAAAAAUGGUGAUUUAUUAAACAAAAUUAUGAGCUUUUAAAAUGUUAAAUCAUGCAUACAUUAAAUCAUACCGGCUUUACAAGAAUUAUAGCAGUGGAGAUCACUUUGAGCUAGUCCUCUUAACAUUCGUCUUCAUCGUGCCGUUGUCCAUUGCUUGUUUUGAGCUUGAUAUCAUUUGAAUGAAUUUUGUCCUUUAAGAACUAGUGAGGCUGUGAAAUAAACAUUUAGUAUUUUACCCUUAUGUGGUUUGUUAUCAUCAAAAUUAUGGUUUGUUCAACCCUUUACGCUAAUAAGAAAAAAGAAGAGCAUCACUGAAAAUA